AAAUUUAUUUUUAUGUUUUAGAUUUAACAGCGGUCACGGUAUUCCAGCAGAUCCUUAGUCCAAAAUAGUGUUCCAUCCAACAUCUUCAACAAAAUAUGGUAGCAAAAUGGACCAUCGUUACCCUGUGUGUAUUUCUCUCUAAAUAAUUUUUUAGUUGGGCUGUUUCUAUUAUCGUGUAAAAACGUGUUAAUUGGAUUUGGUACCAGGAGAAAAAGGAAACCAAGCGACAAUUGGGGGAUGAUUCAACAGUGGUCACGGUAUUCCAGCAGAUCCUUGGUCCAAAAUAGAGUUCCAUGUAACAUCUUCAAUAGAAUAUGGUAGUAAAAUGGACCAACGUUACGCUGUGUGUAUUUCCGUCUAAAAAUAGAGUGACAAUUGACGGAUGAUUCAAUAGUGGUCACGGUAUUCCAGCGGAUCCUUGGUCCAAAAUGGAGUUUCAUCCAACAUCUUCAACAGAAUAUGGUGGUGAAAUGGACCGUCGUUACCCUGUGUGUAUUUCUGUCUAAAUAAUUUUUCAUUUGGGCUGUUUCUAGUAUCGUGUAAAGACGUGUUGACAAUAAAGGGUUUAUUGAAGAAUAUUGCAGUCAAAUAUUGGAUUUGGUACCAGGAGAAAAAGGAAAUAGAUUGACAAUUGUGGGAUGCGGAUCCUUGGUCCAAAAUGGAGUUUCAUCCAACAUCUUCAACAGAAUAUGGUGGUGAAAUGGACCGUCGUUACCCUGUGUGUAUUUCUGUUUAAAGAAUUUUUCAUUUGGGCUGUUUCUAGUAUCGUGUAAAGCGUGUUAACAAAAAUGGGUUGAAUUUAACAAAAUUGCAGUCAAAUAUUGGAUUUGGUACCAGGGGUGAAAGGAAGCGGAGUGACAAUUAU
rnacentral:lncRNA from 1 species